UUAAUUAUUCUGCCUUUAAAAAUGUCAAAUUGACAGAGAAAAUUAGCAUGGCCCUUGCACAAGGAUGACACGCAUAUUUGUGAAGGGUUUCAUAUUUUU
ensembl:snRNA U6 U6 spliceosomal RNA